AACGAACGCUGGCGGCAUGCCUAACACAUGCAAGUCGAACGAGACCUUCGGGUCUAGUGGCGCACGGGUGCGUAACGCGUGGGAACCUGCCCUUAGGUUCGGAAUAACUCCCCGAAAGGGGUGCUAAUACCGGAUAAUGUCUUCGGACCAAAGAUUUAUCUCCUUUGGAGGGGCCCGCGUUGGUUUAGCUAGUUGGUAGGGUAAAAGCCUACCAAGGCGACGAUCCAUAGCUGGUCUGAGAGGAUGAUCAGCCACACUGGGACUGAGACACGGCCCAGACUCCUACGGGAGGCAGCAGUGGGGAAUAUUGGACAAUGGGCGAAAGCCUGAUCCAGCAAUGCCGCGUGAGUGAUGAAGGCCUUAGGGUUGUAAAGCUCUUUUACCCGGGAUGAUAAUGACAGUACCGGGAGAAUAAGCUCCGGCUAACUCCGUG
rnacentral:rRNA from 1 species